rnacentral:lncRNA from 1 species
CUGCUUGCCGGUCUGGUGUUGUUUGGGCGGCGGAGUUGAGAGAUUUUAUGCCGCCGCAGCAACCUGGGGGAACGCCACCAGCACCAUUCCCUGUCAAGUAACCAAUGCAGGGUGCGAGGGAGCUUGUGACUUGACCACAGGUUACGGCCCCUUGAGCCAGGGGUGCACCCACCACCAUGCACAACACCGCCACACAUGCAAGCUUAAGGGACAUUGAGCUAGCCAUAUCGAUUAAUCACAAGAAAAACAAACUUGUAAGGAAAAUGCUUGCUUGGAGUAGUAGUACUAUUGCUGAUUGUCGUGGUUAGGGCUUGAGGGUAGGAGGGUUUUUAUAGCCAAAAGUAGUAGCGGGUGAUGUCUGAAUUUUACUUUCCUAGCUAUUAGGUAAGUUGAGAUUAUCCGAUCCAAACAUUAACACACCACAUUAAAAGUUGAGACCAUUCAAUUAGGUUCAACUGCCAACCUACGUGAUUAUUGUUUUCUUUCAAUACAAUUAAAACCAGCGUCCAUUUGAUUUCACUCAAUCAUGCCUCCACAGCUAGGACUCAAAUAUUGGUUUAACUUUUUUCUAGGUGUUUUCUUAUAAACAUGAGAUUUACAUUUGAUGUAUUUAUAAAUGCAUUUAUUGUCAGAAUGAUACCAUUUUAUUAAAAGUAAUUUGAUUUAUAAUUGUUUGUAUAUAUACUUUUAUAUAUUAAGUCUUUAAUUGAAUUGGUAUUACGAUUCACCCAAGCAUCUAUUUAAUUGAAAAUUUGUUAAAAUAUUCAUAUAACAAAUAUUAAUAUUAAUAUAAAUGUAUUUUUAUUUUUAUUAUAAAUAAAACUAUAAUAAGAUUUAAACUUAUGACUCAUAAAUUUUACUCUUUUUAACUUAACUAUUUCAACUAAAAUUUCAUUUAGUUUUAAUAUAAAUUUUUAUAAAUAUAUUAUUUACAUGAAUUUUCCUUUUCCAGGCGGUAUGCCAUGGAACUAAUAUAAAAUAUAAACAAAUGGUUAUUUUGUUAUUUUCAAUGGAAAAAAAAAACUUCACAAGAUUAGGACACAUGCAUGGUUUUUUUAAUAUAUAUAUAUAUAUAUCAUGCAACAUUCUAAAUCUAUUUAUAGAUUAUUUUGUUGAUUGAAUUUUUAUUUUUUUUUAUUUUGGUAAUUAUAUAAAACUAAAUAUUUUCUUCGCGCAAUGUUAAGAGCAGUUUGAAAUUUAAAAGAAGUGUGGAUUCUAAUAAUAAAUUUAGUUAUCUAAUGUUUACAUAUUUUAUUAAUUUGGUCUUAAAUAUAAAAAUUAAAUUCAACAAAAUUAGCCCUCAAUGUUUACAAAAUUUUUCAUUUUAAUUCAAAUUCUAAAAUAAUCCAAUAAAUUUAGCUCUCAACAUUUACAAAAUGAAAGGAUUUGAUUUUUAAAAUUUUAAUUUUUUUUUUUAAAAACCCAAAACACAAACCUAAAUAAACUGAAAAAGAAGAAGGAAUAAUUAUCAUCACCACGAUCUAAUCUCUCAACUUUAAAAUAAGACUUCAACUUCGGUUUAACCCCAAGACAAGGCGAAACAUUGAAAGUAAGUGCAGCGGAUGCCAUUGAUUCUCCUACCUUUUGGCUAAACACAUAAAUUUGAACAACUUCAUACAUAACUAGCAGCAGUACUAAAAAAUCAUUAAUACUAUAUUUUCAAGUACAAGAAAUUGAAAAAAGAAUCACGGGUAGAGUACAAAAAUGAAAUUUGGUGUGAACCUAGAUUAACAAAACAAGGUUCACGGUUUCUCAAAAACACAAUACUAAAUUUUUAGAAUUUCUUGUGAAGAUCAAGCAAUGAGACAAAUACUGAAAUUGGCAAUGCCUUAAUAGCAAAUAAUAAUUCAAACCAAUGUAGAAAAAAGAUGAAGAAGAAGAAGAUAGGAAAAGAAUUUUUAGUUUACAUUAAAAGCCUUGAAAAGGUAGACCGAUAGGAUUGAUUGUUUUGAAUAUUACUCAACUUUCUCAUUAAUUCUUGUACUAUUAUGGCUAAGUGUGUUUUUAGAUGGUAAUGAAUUUUUUUAAUUGUUAAUAAUUUUUACAAUUAUUACACUUGAUUUGGCAGUUGUUUUUCUUUUUAAUUUACAAAAUUUUAAAAAAUUAAAAAUUUCUAUUUUGUAAAUGCUAAGAGCUAAAUUUAUUAUUAUUUAUUUUAGAAUCUAAACUAAAGUGACAAAUUUUGUAAAUAUUUGGUGUUAAAUUUAUUGGAUUUUUAUAUUUAAAAUCAAAUUGAUAGAAUGUGUAAAGAAAGUUAAUUUUUUUAUUAGACAAAUAAAAAAUAACCCAUUUCAACACUUCCGAAAAAUUUUCAAACGGCCGUUAACAUUUAGUGAUGAAAAUAUUUGAUUUCAUAUAGUUUAAUAAUUAAAAUAAAAAUAAUUAAAAAUUUAGUAAUCAAAGUAAAACACAAGUGAUAUUAUUCUAGUGAUCAUUUCUGUACUUGACCCUAAUUUUUUUUUCAAAACACUGUUAAAAAACGAUUAAUUUCUCGUUUUGGCCGGAGUUAAAAUUUUUAAUAUAUUUGUUUUUAUUAAAUUUAAAAAUUAUAAUUUUACAUAAUAUAUUUUUGAUAGAAUACAUAUGAUAUAAUUUUAAUCAGUGACACCUGUUAAAGCUUGUUAGAUCUCCUGUAUCUCUUUCAAUCUGGUGGUAAAUGAAGCAAUCAAUGAGUAUUACAACCAGCCACAUGUCAUUCAAUUCACAUUAUAUCAAUCUUUUCCCUUUUCUCUCAUUUUGGUAGUUAAUUCCUUUUUUUGUCAUCGAAAUUAUAUUUUUUUCUCAAAUUGAUAAUUUCCUUAAUCCGUUAAGUUUGUUAAAAGAAACCUUAAUCUUAUUUAAAUUAUAUCUUUUUUUUUUUAUUUUGAUACUUAAACAUUUUUGUCACAUGUGGUAUGUAAUUUAUUUUUUCUUAAGUUGUUAGUUUAAUUAUUACUCAAAUAGUUAAGUCUAUUUAAAAAAAGAUAACUAUUUAAAAAUUACCAUAUUCGAACUAGCUAGGCCAUUAGUUCCUGGUUUAAUCAGUUUAUCUAGUUUGAUGAAAUCAAUUAUUAAAAAUUCAUAAAAAUAAAAAUGUUAAAAAAUAGAGAAAACUAGCUCAACUAGUUUUUUUUUUAAGCUCGACUCAAUCAAUCUGUAUCAGUUUGUAGGUUAAUCGGUUCAAGCCCUAUCUCCAAACUAGUAUCCCAGUUGGUUCCUAGUAUUAAGGGUGAGCAAAAUUUGAAUCGACUCGAAAAAAUUUAAAAAAGUUCAAAUUUUGAAUUAUUUGAAUCGAGUUAAUCGAAUCAACUCGAUUUUUUUUUAAUUUCAAGUUCGAGUCGAGUUGAGUUUUUGAAUUCAAAUGACUCGAAUAAUUCGAUUAAGCCGAAUACCAAACUAUAAUAUUUUACAUUUUACCUCAAACCCCAAACCCUUUUACUUUUCCCCCAAAACUUUACUCAUUCCUCCUUGUCUGCCCCUGUAACGCCCCAAAUUUUGAAUUGUUACUGUUAGUUUCUAUUUAUAAGUAAGUAUUUGCUUCAGUGGUUAAGUGUUAUGUGUUGGUGUUUGGAUCGGGGGUUCAAGUUACACUUUUAGAGAAUUUUAUUAUUCUUUUGUUUCAACUCUUAUCCUUGAAUGCUUGAAUUAAGUUUGUAUCUGCAUUAAUUUGUGUCAAGAAUGAGUCUUCUAGUUUAAUGGUUAAGUUUUGUAUUACCUAUGGUCUCGUGUUCGAGUCUCUGCGUAGGCAAUAAAGAAAUAUUUUGGCAUGCUAUCGGGAAAUCAGUUUUAUUUUAAUAAUUAUUUUUAUUUAAAACUUAUUUUUAGUUUUUUUUAUUUUGGUUCUUCUCCUUCCUUACUGUUCAUUUCCUUCUUCUUUUUUCUCCUUUUGUAACACCCCUAACUCGAAUCCGUCGCUGGAACAGGGUUAGGAGUAUUAUUGAAGUUUACAAUUUAAACAGGCAGAAAAAUUAAACAUUUCAUAACAUAUAGCAUUCAUGUUAGAAACCAAUCAUAAUUAUGCAUAUUGUCCCUAAUACGAGCCCUCGAGGCCCAAAAUACACCUUAGAAAUAAUUCGGGACUAAAUUGAAAAUUCGGAGCAUUUUUUAGAAACUUAUAAAAUUUUUAAAACUACAGGGGUCACAUGGCCGUGUGGCUAGGUUGUGUGACUCAUAUGGCCAACAGACACGCCCAUGUCUUAGACCGUGCGGGUAUUCGAAAUAGGGACACACGGUCGUGUCCCAGCCAGUGUCCAUGCCCGUGUAACUCACUAACUUGGGCCACACGGUCAAGCCAUACGCCCGUGUGCCAGGCAUUGUGAGCAUACUAACUUGCAUUCUUUAAAAGAUACAGGGGACACACGGCCAUGUCACCUGACCGUGUGUGACACACGCCCGUGUCUCUGCCCGUGUGGACAAAAAUAGGCUAUUUUUCAAGUCAUAAAUAUUCAUGUAUUCUUUAAAAGAUACAGGGGACACACGCCCGUGUCUCUGCCCGUGUCUCUGCCCAAUUUGGUACCAACCUAAACACAACAAUUUGCAUAUAACCAAGUCAUAAAUAGGCAUCCAAAACCAGCCAAAAUCAAGCUUAAAACAUGUAAUAUCAUCACAUACAACCAAUAUGCCCUUAGGCACCUCAAAUGACAACUUAUAAUAUUAAUAUUCAUGUAUUCAAUAUAGCCAAAUGUAUAACUCACUUAUAUGCAUAUUUUCAUCCAAAGUUUAUUAAGCAAAUUUACAUCAUUUCUUACCAAAUUACUUACCUUCCAAAACAUAUUAUUUGGUGCUAAAAUGUAUUUAACAUACUAACAUAUUUAACUUAUAUGCCUUACAUAUCCAGACACCAAUUCAUGAUCAAUUCUUCACAUUCCAAAACACAUAUAUGAAAUGCACAUUAGGUUACCUUUUUACCACUCUUUAUUCAAUCAUGAACCAAACUACAUGUCAACCAUAAUAAGCAAAAUAUGCACAUAUCCAAAAUUCCAUAACACAAACAAAACAAAUGGCUAAUCUCAACAAAACACAUAUAAGCCAACAUUGGCCAAACUAAUCUAUACAUGCCAUUAUAACCGAAAUUAAACAACCGAAUGUACCAAAAGAGCCAAUGGAUAGUGUGAUAUAGCUCCGACAAGCUUUCAACCAGAACGAGCUUUCGAAUCACUAAAAACACAGAAAAUAACACAGAGUAAGCAUUCAAGCUUAGUAAGUUCAUAUAGCAUAUAAUUUAACUUACCAUUUAGUCACAUUUAAGGUAAGCAUACAAAACAUAUCCAAACUCAAUUAGGAUAAAAGCCUCAACACAUAUCCUCAUCAACCAUGUUAGUCAUGUAAUUCAUAUAAAUAUCAAGAAACAUGUAUGAGCUCAACAAUAAUCAAACUUGCAUGUACAUAUAAUUUCCACAUCAUGUAUUUACAUAUCAUGUACAAAUCAUUUUCAUAUAUCUCAUGUAAAUACAUGUAGUAGUUUGUAUUGAACUCAUGUAAUAUCAUAACAGAACAGUGCCCGUUGAACCAUUUAGAUUAUUGUUGGAUACGCGGAUAGUACACAUGAGGUGUACUGAACUGUAAUUCAUCAAUUCAUGUACAUGUAUGCUCAUAUGAGCUAUAAACAGUAAGCUCCUCUGAGAUGAAUAACAAUAAGCUUGUACGAGCUGAAUAUCGGUAAGCUCAUAUGAGCUGAGUAUCGGUAAGCUCAUAAGAGCUGAAAUCGAUAACCCUAAUGACAUGUUUACCAAGCCAUGACAUUCCACUAACACAUUUAACCUUUAAAAUUAUUUCAAUUUACAAGUUUAAGAAAGAACAUAAAAGAUGAUACUUGGCUUUAUUUUACUAAAUUUUGUUAUUUACUUAAUUACUUAUUUAACCUUUAAAAUCAUUUCAAUUUACAAGUUUACUAAGCCAUGACAUUCCACUAACACAUUUAAGGGUUAUUUACCAUAUAAGGACCUCUACUUUAAAUUUUUAUAGCUAUUUAAUACCUUUAGCUAUUAGAACUUUACUUUUACACUUUACGCGAUUUAGUCAUUUUUAUCAAAUUGAACAUGUAAACGGUAAAAUUUCUUAACGAAAUUUUCAUAUGGUAAUAUUAUCAUGUUUUCGACCAUAAAAUAAUAAUAAAAUAAAAUUUUUUACUUCAUAUUUGUGGUCCCAAAACUACUAUUCUGAUUUCACUGAAAAUGGGUUGUUACACCUUUCUUGCUUGAUUGCUUCCGUAAGUUUGCUAUCGUGCUUAAUUGGGCAUUCUGUGUGGUUUCUUACAUUGAUUGCAAGGAUAUUGCGUAAGUUAUGUUGUUGUUUUUUACCUAUUUUUUCUAGACUUCGUCUGUUUCGUCGAGGUUAGAUAUUACUGUUAAUGGUUGUAAAAUCUCGUUAAUAGUUCCAAUGGAUCUUCUUUUAGGAAAAGGUUUCAAAAGUAACAUUUCCCUGUGAGAUUAGGUCCGAAUUGUUGUUGCUUGCUUGUCAGUAAUUGAAAAUUUCUAUUUUGGAUAGCUGCGUCGAAGUUUUCGACGAACGUUAGUUUUGAGUGCUAAUUUUGGCAUUUUGAGUUGAUUUAGUCAUUUAAUUCGUCAAUUAAUUGUCGUUUUAGGUUUCAGAUUCUUGUGUGUUGCUUCUACAUCGAAACUACAUCAAGUGUGUAACGAAAACUCAUUUUUCUAUGAUUUACGAAUGCUAGAAAACAUGGCUGUUAAUCACACGACCGUGUGUUAGGCCAUGUAACUUACUGUUUAUGUAUUAAAGUCACCGAGCCAAGGACGUGGGCGUGUGUCCUAGUCGUGUAACUUACUAUUUGUGGAUUGGAGUCACACAGGCUAGGGACACGUUUGUGUGUCCAGACUGUGUGAAGGAAAUUUUAUGAAUUGAGUCACACAAGCGUGUGCUUGACUAUGUCAUAGACCGUGUAACUCACUUUUUUGAGCCACACGAUCGUGUGCCAGGCCGUGUGAUAGAUCGUGUGCUACACGGGCCAGCCUUCCGGGACAUGUGAAUCCACACAAGUGUGUGGGUCAAAAUUUCAAAUUUUUUAUUAGGGCCGUAAACAUCAUUCCAGUCAAACGUAGGCCUACUGUAGGGUCUGGAUGAUCUGAUUUGGGUUAUAAAACCCAUUGACUAGUUAUCUGUUUCUGUAUAAACUGUUAUUUUAUAUACAUCAUAGAAUUGUAAACUAGAGAGUAGUUGUAUUCUGUAUUAAUUGAGUAUAACCUGAAAUUUGUAACAUCGUAUGCUUAUAUCUGUAUCUGUAACAUUGCAUCUGCAUUGGGGUUGGGAUUGAAUAAGGAGGAAGUUAUGGCAGUUAAAUAAUCUGCUAAGACUGGUGGCUAAGACACGUAAAUGUAUCUAAUUUUGGUGACUUUCGCAUUCUGUCCUAGCAAUUAGUCUGCAACCUUUUGAACGUGACAUAUGGUCACUAUGUGGUGUGUAGGGACGAUACCCUUUUUGGUGUGUAGGGUUGGAUGCAGAUGGUGUGUAAUUGACAUAUUCUACUCUAUUUCCGUAUAUAAUUCUGAGAACUGUUCUAACUUUAAGAAAUUGAAGAUCUAUUUUGUUGUUUCACUUAAUAAUAAUAUAAGUUAUACGCUAUGUAUAACACCCUUUACCCGAGACCGUGGUCGGAGUCGAGCAUGAGGUGUUACUUGACUUAACUUAAAAGUUCAGGGCAUAAAAAUUUACUUUCAAAAUUAAUUUCACCAUUCACAAUAAAGUUGUCCACCUGAGCAGCAGUCACUAAAUUAAUUAUAACUCAAGCUAAGAAACUCGAAAUUUAGAUUCGUAAAUUUUCCCUGAAACUAGACUCAUAUAUCUAUUCACAAAAAUUUUUCAGAAUUUUUUAUUUGACCAAUUAGUACAGUUUAUUAGUUGAAGUCUCCCCAGUUUCACUAAUCGACUAUCCUGACCUCUCGUCACUAAAAUUCAAUUAUCUCAUUAUACAGACUUGACAUGCUGAUUCCACUUAUUUAUACUUAAAAUAUACUCAUUAAGGAAUUUAAAAAUAUAAUUUAUAACUCAUAAUUCUAUUUGUACAAUUUUUAAUGAAUUUCUAAAGUCAGAACAGGGGACUUCAGAAUCAUUCUGACUCUGUCUCACUAAAAUUAAAAUAUCUAAAAGUAUAUAACUCUUUUGCUUACUCUAUUGCUUUCAUGUGAAAGUAGACUCAUUCAGAUUUAAUUUCAUCUCUCGCUAAACAUAUAAUUCUAUUUCUACAAUUUUUGGUAAUUUUUCAAAGUUACAUCAAUGCUGCUGCCCAAAAAUAGUUCCAUUGAAAUUUUUAAAAAAAAAUUCAAUAUAACCCCUUUAUAAUUAUCUAACCUUCCCUGCAAAUUUCAAAUCACAACCAAUUUCAGUAUUUCAACUACUUCACUUAAAUACUAAUGAAGUUCAACUAAUCAACCAUUUCAAACUAAAAACAUGUAUAGUUCAAUGUUUAACACAACCAUCACAUUCAAAUUUAUUCAUUCUAUUACUUUUUACUUCAAUUCCCUAUACAUGUCAUAUAAAUCCAAAAAGUUGUUUAACAAAAUCUACAGGAGUAAAUCUGGAUAGUGUGAUUCUUGGUGUAGAUCUGAUCCUCCGAAUGUAUAAAUACGUCAAUCUACAAGAAUCAAUAAACACACAAUUAAGCGUAUAGAAAGCUUAGUAAGUUCAUAGGCACCAAACAUAAAUCUUACCAAACAUUUAUACACUUAUACAUUAUACACCAUUACUAAGUUUACCUGUCAACCACAAUCUUUGGUGAGUUCCUUGGUAUAAACUCACUACUACUUAUUCUUUUACCAUAAUUCCUUUGGGCCCAUUUGUCACUUACCAUCCUUGAUCAAAAUUAAGGAACGGUUACGGAAAAUUGAGUACUUCACUUUCACUUUGCCAUAGUAUAACUAUGGUCUUACGUAUGAUCAAACAUCACUUGUCCUUGAUAAGAUAAGUGUAGCUAGGCAACCACUUAUCACUUUGUCACUUGAUCAGAUAAGUGCAGCUAAAGCUACCAUUUAUCACUUUAUCACCACUUAUCACUUGUUCUUGAUUAGAUAAGUGUAGCUAAAGUUACCACUUAUCACUUUGUCACCACUUAUCACUUGUUCCUAAUCAGAUAAGUGUAGCUAAAACUACCACUUAUCACUUUGUCACUUGAUCAGAUAAGUGUAGCUAAGCUAUCACUUAUCACUUUGUCACUUGAUCAGAAGUACUCAAAUCCGGUGUUCUGCUCAAUUUGAUCAUUUAUUCAGUUUUCACAUUUUUAUUUUAUUCUCAUUUCAUCAAUAAAUAUAUAUAUUUCAUCAUACAUUAUAUAAUUCAUGAAAUUAACAUUUAAUCAUUAAAUUUUAGCCAUAUGAACUUACCUGGGUUGAUUUGCUGAAUUUGUAAAAGUUUAGGGACUAAUCAGCUACUUUUUUUUUCCUCGACUUGUUUCGGGUUCUCAAUAUGAUUCAAAUAUAUGAAAAACCAACUUGGAGGGACUCUUCAAUGGUGUUUUUUGCUAAAAAAUAUGAGGAAUUGCCUAGAAACACUUUUAGUUAAGAUUUUUAUUUGUUAUUUUUUACAAAAUUUCCAAUUUUGCCCUUAUUACAUCACUUUUUCAAAUUUUUCUUCUCUUAUGUCGUCUCAACUAUUCCAUAUUGGCAUAUUUAUGCCUUAAGUCCCUCCUUAUUUACCACUUAAGCUAUUUAAUCACUUUUAACAAAUUUUACAUUAUUUUCAGUUUAAUCCUUUUUAAUUAAUUAACCACCCAAACGUUAGAAUUUUCUAACGAAAAUUUAAUACCAACUCAAUGACACUCCAUAAAUGUUUCUAAAAAUAUUUAUGGCUCGAUUUAUGAGGUUGAGGUUUCAAUACCUCAUUUUCGAUUCUAAUUAUUUUAAUAUUUAUUCUUAGUACAUUAUUCACUAUUUCAAAAAUUUUCCUAACUUCGCAUUUAACUUAUACUCACUAAAUUAAUAAUAUUUUCUACUCAUUUGUCAAAUUUAAUGAUCUCGAAUUACCAUUCCGACACCACUGAAAAUUCAGGCCAUUACAACUCUCCCCCCAUUUUGGAAAUUUCAUCACCGAAAUUUCGUACCUGAAAAUAAAUUCGGAUACUGAAAUCUCAGCAAUUCCUCUGUUUCCCAGGUUGCCUCCUCAGAUCCAUGUCGAUUCCAUAACACCUUAACUAGUGGUACAUGUUUAUUCCUCAACUCUUUAACCUUCUGAGCUAAAAUUUUCACCGGUUCCUCUGAAUAAGUCAUGUCAGGUUGAAGCUCUAUUUCCGUAUGAGGAAUUACAUGUGAUGGAUCUGAUCUGUACCGUCUCAACAUAGACACAUGAAACACAUUAUGAAUCUUUUCAAGUUCCGGGGGCAAAGCUAAUCUAUAGGUUACCGGACCGAUUCUUUCAAUGAUUUCAUACGGCCCGAUAAAUCGUGGGCUGAGUUUCCCCUUUUUGCUGAACCGCAAAACUUUCUUCCACGGUGACACUUUCAAAAAUACACGAUCACCCACAUUAAACUCUAUAUCCCUUCUCUUCAAAUUUGCAUAUGAUUUUUGCCGAUCGGAGGUAGCUUUUAAACAAUCUCGAAUAAUACGAACUUUUUCUUCAGUUUCCUGAGUCAAUUCCACUCCCACUAGUUUCGAUUCACUUAAUUCAGACCAAUAUAAUGGAGUUCUACACUUUCUUCCAUACAAAGCUUCAAACGGUGCCAUUUUAAUGCUAGUUUGAUAACUAUUAUUAUAAGCAAAUUCGGCUAAAGGUAAAUACCUUUCCCAGCUACCGCCGAACUCAAGUAUACAACACCUUAACAUAUCUUCUAAAAUCUGAAUCACUCGCUCUGACUGCCCAUCUGUCUAGGGAUGAAAAGCUGUGUUGAAAUUUAAUUUGGUGCCUAAAGCUUCCUGUAAUUUACUCUAAAAUCUCGAGGUAAAUCUCGGAUCUUGAUCUGAAAUAAUAGAUGUCGGUACCCCAUGUAACCUCACUAUCUCAGACACAUAUAACUCCGCUAACUUUUCAAGCUGAUAAUCUGCUCUGACUGGAAUAAAAUGUGCUGACUUAGUUAACCGAUCAACAAUCACCCAUAUUGAAUGUUUCUUCUUCAGAGUUACUAGUAAUCCAGAUACAAAAUCCAUCGUAACAUGUUCCCAUUUCCAAUCUGGAAUCAUAAUGGGCUGUAACAACCCUGUCGGCACUUGAUGCUCAGCUUUCACCUGUUGACAGAUCAAACAUCUUGCUACAUACUCAAAGAUUUCCCGUUUCAUUCCGGGCCACCAAUACAUUUUCUUCAAAUCACAAUACAUUUUUGUACUACCCGGGUAAAUAGAACACAUACUACUGUGAGCCUCUGAUAAAAUAUCAUUUUUCAAGUUUAAAUUAUUCGGAAUACAUAUUCUAUUACGAUAAUAUAACAUACCAUUUUCAUCAAUGGAGUAUUCUGAGCUUAACUUAUCUUGAACCAUCUGUCGCUUUAUCAUCAAUUUUGGGUCAUCAUCCUAUAACUCCCGAAUCCGUUGAAAGAACACGGGUUUAGCCUUUAAUUCUGCUAGUACAGAACCAUCCUCAUUAAUAGAUAAAUGAGCAUUCAAUGCCCGUAGUGCAAAUAAUGAUGAUUUCCGACUAAGCGCAUCUGCUGCGGCAUUUGCUUUCCCUGGGUGAUAGUCAAUGACAAGAUCAUAAUCUUUCAGCAACCCCAACCAUCGUCUCUGUGUCAAAUUUAACUCUUUCUGAGUCAUUAAAUACUUCAAGCUUUUAUGAUCAGUAUACACGUAACAUUUCUCACCAUAUAAGUACUCUCCAUAUCUUCAAAGCAAACACGAUCGCUGCCAAUUCCAAAUCAUGUGUAGGAUAAUUCUUGUCGUGCGGUUUCAGUUGCCAAGAAGCAUAUGCCACCACUUUGCCUGACUGAAUAAGUACACAGCCCAACCCAUUUACAGAUGCAUCACUAUAUACUACAAACGGUACACCCGAUUCUGGUUGAGUCAACACUGGAGCCUCUGUCAACAUCUUUUUCAACUGAUCGAAACUCCGCUGACAUUCAUCUAACCAUAUAAAUUCAACAUUCUUUUGUAGCAAUCGAGUUAACGGUAAGGUAAUCAUUGAGAAAUCUUUGACAAAUCGACGAUAAUAACCUGCCAAUCGUAGAAAACUCUGCACUUCAGUCACAUUCUUCGGAACUUUCCAAUUUAUCACUGCCGCUACCUUACUUGGAUCCACUCUUAUUCCAUCAGCUGAUACAAUAUGACCCAAAAAUGCAACUUCAUGGAGCCAAAAUUCACAUUUGCUGAAUUUGGCAUACAAUUGUUUCUCCCACAAAGUCUGUAAUACAAUCAUUAGAUGUUGUGCAUGUUCGGACUCUGUCUUUGAAUAAAUCAAUAUAUCGUCAAUGAACACAACCACAAAUCUAUCCAAAUAUGACUGAAAAAUUCUAUUCAUCAAAUCCAUAAAAGCAGCAGGGGCAUUGGUUAAACCAAAUGGCAUCACCAAAAAUUCAAAAUGACCAUAUCGAGUUCGAAAGGCAGUUUUCGGCACUUCACACUCUUUAACUUUCAACUGAUAAUACUCGGAUCGAAGAUCUAUCAUGGAAAAUACUGUAGCACCUUUCAACUGAUCAAACAAAUCAUCAAUAUGAGGCAAAGGAUUUUUAUUCUUUACUGUUACCUUAUUCAACUGUCUGUAAUCUAUACACAGUCUUAAAAAACCGUCCUUCAUUUUCACAAACAAGACAGGUGUACCCCAGGGCGACAUACUCGGUCUGAUGAACCCUUUAUCUAAUAACUCCUGCAGCUGCGCCUUCCGUUCUUUUAACUCGACUGGAGCCAUUCUGUAUGGUGUCAUUGAGAUAGGAGUUGUUCCGGGGAUCACAUCAAUUACAAAUUCAACUUCUCUAUCAGGUGGUAGACCGGGUAACUCUUCAGGGAACAUAUCAGGGAAUUCAUUCACCAUUGGCACUUGUUCGAGCUUCAAACCAGAACCCUGAGUAUCCAGGAUAUAGGCCAAGAAUGCUUCGUUGCCUUUGUGUAAUAACCUCUGAGCAGAGAGAGCUAAAAUAAUUCUGACUGUAUCACCCAGAUUUUCAGACCCAACUGAGAUUAUAUCUCCCGUUUGACAUUUCAAACUGAUUUGUUUAUCACGAUAAUUCACUACCGCAUCAUGUCUCAUUAACCAGUCCAUCCCCAGAAUAAUGUCAAAUUCCCGAAAAGGUAACAACAUCAAAUCAGCGAGGAAUUCAUAGCCUUUCACUUUCAGUGGACAAUUACGACAUAUCAAAUUAACCAUCACACUUUGACCUAAUGGGUUUGUGACUUGUAUAUCAAAUUCAGUGGACUCAACAGAUAAUUUCUUUUUAGAUGCUAACAUAGUGCAAAUAUAUGAAUGAGUAGAUCCAGGGUCUAUCAAUGCAUAAACAAUAACAUCAUAAAGAUAGAAAGUACCAGCAAUUACAUCAGGAGCCGUAGCCUCUUUCCUUGCUCGAAUGGCGUAGGUACGUGCUGGUGCUCUAUUCUCUGAUCGACCAACUGAUUCCCUCGUACCCGAACGGGUAGUCCCUGUAGCACUGCUCUGGCCCGAACGUCUACUUUUUUGGGGAAUGGUUCUCUGUAUUUCUUUCUGUUCCACUUCAUCUUUUUACAGUCGGGAACAAUCUCGAAUAAGAUGAUUAGUACCCUCACAUUUUUAACAAGCCCCUAUCUUGGUCCUGCAUUCUCUGAAAUGAUAUCUUCCACAAUAUUGACACUUAGGCCGGGGAGCAUUCUGAACACUGCUCACACUUGCUGGAGGUCUAUCGAAUACCCUGAAAUCAGAUUGUCUUGGUCUAUCUCUACCCGAUCUUCUCGACAGUGAUGUAGUUCGACUAAUUUCUUCUCUAGAUUUGUUCACUGGUAAAUCUAAAAAUGACUUAGAAGCACCUCUUUUGAAUGGCUCUUUACUUUUUCGAUCCCGCUACAUUUUUCUGUUGUAUACUUCUUCGAGCUUUUGAGCACGGUCUGACAGAACAGGGAACUCUCGUAUUUCAUUACCCCCAAUCAUCAUUCUAAUUUCAUCAUUUAACCCUUCUUCAAACCUGAUACACAUUUCUUCUUUAAUAAGUACAAUGUCUCGGGCAUAUUUGCUGAGGUAGACAAAUUCUCUUUCGUAUUCAGCCACUGAUUUAUCUCCCUGGCGUAGGUCGAGAAAUUCCCUUUUAUUUUUAUCCAAAUACCGUCUGCCCACAUAUUUCUUCUUAAAUUCAUUUUGGAAAAAUUCCCAAUAAAUUUUCUCUGUCGGAACCACAUCCUCAAUCGUCUCCCACCAACUAUAAGCUUCUUCUUUCAAUAGAGACACAACACAACUCAAAUAAUCAUCUAGUGAGCAAACCAUUUCUUUAAAAAUUCUUAUUAAACUCUGUAACCAAUAUUCAGCUUUGACGGGAUCUUUAUCAGUCCUUCCCCGAAAUUCUUCGGCUCCAAGUUUUUUAAGCCUUUCCAAUGGAGAACGCUUUCUGGAUUCAGUCGUUGUAAAAGGUGGAGGAGCAACCGGGUGUGCCACCGAUGGAGCAGUAGGGGGAGGAGGUGGUUCAGCCUGAUUUCUUUCUUGCCUCAUUUCAGUAUAUCAUUGAUUCAUAAUCCCAUAAAUCAUAUUCUUUAACUCUUGCUCUCGCAUUUGGGAGAUCGGAACAUCACUGCUUGUUCUUUGUUUAGAAUUAUGUAUUCUACUAUUAACUUCUUCUUUCUCAGUACGUUUAGGUAUAUCUGACAUCUCCAUAACCGGAGAAUAUCUACUAUUAACUUCUUCUUACUGGAUUCAGUCGUUGUAAGAGGUGGAGAAGCAACCGGGGGUACCACCGAUGGAGCAGUAGGCAGAGGAGGUGGUUCAGCCUGAUUUCUUUCUUGCCUCAUUUCAGUAUACCACUGAUUCAUAAUCCCAUAAAUCAUAUUCUUUAACUCUUGCUCCCGUAUUUGGGAGAUCAGAACACCACUGCUUGUUCUUUGUUCAGAAUUAUGUAUUCUACUAUUAACUUCUUCUUGCUCAGUACGUUCAGGUAUAUCUGACAUCUCUAUAACCGGAGAAUAUCUAUAAAAAUAACAAAGAUUAGAUCGCAUCAUACGCAUUACACUAUCACAGAUUUAUAUGGCAUGUAUUUCUAAACACUUUACACUUUACACAUAUUCCGAGAACCGGCUAAACCUGGAUCUGAUACCAAUAAAAUGUAACACCCUUUACCUGAGACCGUUUCCAGAGUCGAGCAUGAGGCGUUACUUGACUUAACUUAAAAGUUCAGGGCAUAAAAAAUUACUUUCAAAAUUAAUUUCACCAUUCACAAUAAAGCUGUCCACCCACGCAGCAAUCUCUAAAUUAAUUAUAACUCAAGAUGCGAAACUCGAAAUUUAGAUCUGUAUAUUUUACCUAAAACUAGACUCAUAUAUCUAUUCACUACAAAAUUUUCAGACUUUUUGGUUUGGCAAAUUAGUACAGUUUAUUAAUUGAAGUCUCCCCUGUUUCACUAAUAGACUAUCCUGACCUCUCGUCACUAAAAUUCAAUUAUCUCAUUAUACAAACUUGACUUGGUGCUUUCAAUUAUUUUUACUUAAAAUAGACUCAUUAAGGAAUUUAAACAUAUAAUUUAUAACUCAUAAUUCAUUUUGUACAAUUUUUAAUGAAUUUCUAAAGUCAAAAUAGGGGACUUCAAAAUCAUUCUGACUCUGUCUCACUAAAAUUCAAAUAUCUAAAAGUAUAUAACUCUUUUGCUUACUCUAUUGCUUUAAUGUGAAAGUAGGCUCAUUCAGCUUUAAUUUCAUCUCUCACUCAACUUAUAAUUCUAAGUCCACAUUUUUGGUGAUUUUUCAAAGUUACAUCAAUACUGCUGUCCAAAAACUGUUCCAUUGAAAUUUUUUUAAAAAAUUUCAAUAUAACCCUUUUAUAAUUAUCUAACCUUCCCUGCAAAUUUUAAAUCACAACCAAUUUCAGUAUUUCAACCACUUCACUUAAAUACUAAUGAAGUUCAACCAAUCAACCAUUUCAAACUAAAAACAUGCAUAGUUCAAUGUCUAACACAACCAUCACAUUCAAAUUUACUUUGCAUAUUUAGAUAUUCAUUCUUUUACUUUUUACUUCAAUUCCCUAUACAUGUCAUAUAAAUCCAAAAAGUUGUUUAACAAAAUCUACCGGAGUAAAUCUUGAUAGUGUGAUUCUUGGUGUAGAUCCGAUCCUCUGAAUGUAUAAAUACGUCAAUCUACAAGAAUCAAUAAACGCACAAGUAGGCUUAAUAAACACACAAGUAAGCUUAUAGAAAGCUUAGUAAGUUCAUAGGCACCAAACAUAAAACUUACCAAACAUUUAUACACUUAUACAUUAUACACCAUUACUAAGUUUACCUGUCAACCACAUUCUUUGGUGAGUUCCUUGGUAUAAACUCACUAAUACUUAUUCUUUUACCAUAAUUCCUUUGGGCCCAUUUGUCACUUACCAUCCUUGAUCAAAAUUAAGGAACGGUUACGGAAAAUUGAGUACUUCACUUUCACUUUGCCAUAGUAUAAAUAUGGUCUUACGUAUGAUCACUUAUCACUUGUCCUUGAUCAGGUUAGUGUAGCUAGGCUACCACUUAUCACUUGUUCCUGAUCAGAUAAGUGUAGCUAAGCUAUCACUUGUCACUUUGUCACUUGAUCAAAAGUACUCAAAUCCGGUGUUCCGCUCAAUUUGAUCACUUAUUCAGUUUGCGCAUUUUUAUUUUAUUCUCAUUUCAUCAAUAAAUAUAUAUAUAUAUUUCACCAUACAUUAUAUAAUUCAUGAAAUUAACAUUUAAUCAUUAAAUUUCAUCCAUAUGAACUUACCUAGGUCGAUUUUCUGAAUUUGUAAAAGUUCAAGGACUAAUCAGCUACUUUUUCUUUUCCUCGACUUGUUUCGGGUUCUCGAUAUGAUUCAAAUAUAUGAAAAACUAGCUUGGAGGGACUCUUCAAUGGCGUUUUUUGCUGAGAAAUAUGAUGAAUUGCCUAGAAACUCUUUUAGUUAAGAUUUUUAUUUGUUAACUUUUACAAAAUUUCUAAUUUUGCCCUUAUUACAUCACUUUUUCAGAUUUUUCUUCUCUUAUGCCGUCUCAACUAUUCCAUAUUAGCAUAUUUAUGCCUUAAGUCCCUCCUUAUUUACCACUUAAGCUGUUUAAUCACUUUUAACAAAUUUUACAUUAUUUUCAGUUUAGUCAUUUUUAAUUAAUUAACCACCAAAACGUUAGAAUUUUCUAACGAAACUUUAAUACCAACUCAAUGACACUCUAUAAAUGUUUCUAAAAAUAUUUAUGGCUCGAUUGAUGAGUUUGAGGUUUCGAUACCUCAUUUUCGACUCUAAUUAUUUUAAUAUUUAUUCUUAGUACACUAUUCACUAUUUCAAAAAUUUUCCUAACUUCGCAUUUAACUUAUACUCACUAAAUUAAUAAUAUUUUCUACUCAUUUGUCAAAUUUAAUGAUCUCGAAUUACCAUUCCGACACCACUGAAAAUUCAGGCCAUUACAACUCUCCCCCCAUUUUGGAAAUUUCGUCCCCGAAAUUUCGUACCUGAAAAUAAAUUCGAAUACUGAAAUCUCAUCAAUUCCUCUGUUUCCCAGGUUGCCUCCUCAGAUCCAUGUCGAUUCCAUAACACCUUAACUAGUGGUACAUGUUUAUUCCUCAACUCUUUAACAUCCCAAGCUAAAAUUUUCACCGGUUCCUCUGAAUAAGUCAUGUCAGGUUGAAGCUCUAUUUCCGUAUGAGGAAUUACAUGUGAUGGAUCUGAUUUGUACCGUCUCAACAUAGACACAUGAAACACAUUAUGAAUCUUUGCAAGUUCCGGGGGCAAAGCUAAUCUAUAGGUUACCAGACCGAUUCUUUCAAUGAUUUCAUACGGCCCGAUAAAUCGUGGGCUGAGUUUUCCCUUUUUGCUGAACCGCAAAACUUUCUUCCACGGUGACAGUUUCAAAAAUACACGAUCACCCACAUUAAACUCUCUAUCCCUUCUCUUCAAAUCUGCAUAUGAUUUUUGCUGAUCGGAGGCAGCUUUUAAGCAAUCUCGAAUAAUACGAACUUUUUCUUCAGUUUCCUGAGUCAAUUCCACUUCCACCAGUUUCAAUUCACUUAAUUUAGACCAAUAUAAUGAAGUUCUACACUUUCUUCCAUACAAAGCUUCAAACGGUGCCAUUUUAAUGCUAGUUUGAUAACUAUUAUUAUAAGCAAAUUCGGCUAAAGGUAAAUACCUUUCCCAGCUACCGCCGAACUCAAGUAUACAACACCUUAACAUAUCUUCUAAAAUCUGAAUCACUCGCUCUGACUGCCCAUCUGUCUGGGGAUGAAAAGCUGUGUUGAAAUUUAAUUUGGUGCCUAAAGCUUCCUGUAAUUUACUCUAAAAUCUCGAGGUAAAUCUCGGAUCUCGAUCUGAAAUAAUAGAUGUCGGUACCCCAUGUAACCUCACUAUCUCAGACACAUAUAACUCCGCUAACUUUUCAAGCUGAUAAUCUGCUCUGACUGGAAUAAAAUGUGCUGAUUUAGUUAACCGAUCAACAAUCACCCAUAUCGAAUCUUUCUUCUUCGAAGUUACUGGUAAUCCGGAUACAAAAUCCAUCGCAACAUGUUCCUAUUUCCACUCUGGAAUCAUAAUGGGCUGUAACAACCCUGUCGGCACUUGAUGCUCAGCUUUCACCUGUUGGCAGAUCAAACAUCUUGCUACAUACUCACAGAUUUCCCAUUUAAUUCCGGGCCACCAAUACAUUUUCUUCAAAUCACAAUACAUUUUUGUACUAACCCGGUGAAUAGAACACAUACUACUGUGAGCCUCUGAUAAAAUAUCAUUUUUCAAGUUUAAAUUAUUCGGAAUACAUAUUCUAUUACGAUAAUAUAACAUACCAUUUUCAUCAAUGGAGUAUUCUGAGCUUAACUUAUCUUGAACCAUCUGUCGUUUUAUCAUCAAUUUUGGGUCAUCAUCCUGUAACUCUUGAAUCCAUUGAAAGAACACGGGUUUAGCCUUUAAUUCUGCUAGUACAGAACCAUCCUCAUUAAUAGAUAAAUGAGCAUUCAAUGCCCGUAGUGCAAAUAAUGAUGAUUUCUGACUAAGUGCAUCUGCUGCGGCAUUUGCUUUCCCUGGGUGAUAGUCAAUGACAAGAUAAUAAUCUUUCUGCAACUCUAACCAUCGUCUCUAUCUCAAAUUUAACUCUUUCUGAGUCAUUAAAUACUUUAAGCUUUUAUGAUCAGUAUACACGUAACAUUUCUCACCAUAUAAGUAGUGUCUCCUUAUCUUCAAAGCAAACACGAUCGCUGCCAAUUCAAAAUCAUGUGUAGGAUAAUUCUUGUCGUGCGGUUUCAGUUGCCGAGAAGCAUAUGCCACCACUUUGCCUGACUGAAUAAGUACACAGCCCAACCCAUUUACAGAUGCAUCACUAUAUACUACAAAUGGUACACCCGAUUCUGGUUGAGUCAACAUUGGAGCCUCUGUCAACAUCUUUUUCAACUGAUCAAAACUCCGCUGACAUUUAUCUGACCAUAUAAAUUCAACAUUCUUUUGUAGAAAUCGAGUCAACUGUAAGGUAAUCAUUGAGAAAUCUUUGAUAAAUCGACAAUAAUAACAUGCCAAUCGUAGAAAACUCCACACUUCAAUAACAUUCUUCGGAACUUUCCAAUUUACCAUUGCCGCUACCUUACUUGGAUCGACUCUUAUUCCAUCAGCUGAUACAAUAUGACCCAAAAAUGCAACUUCAUGGAGCCAAAAUUCUCAUUUGCUAAAUUUGGCAUACAAUUGUUUCUCUCACAAAGUCUGUAAUACAAUCCUUAGAUGUUGUGCAUGUUCGGACUCUGUCUUUGAAUAAAUCAAUAUAUCGUCAAUGAACAACCACAAAUCUAUCCAAUUAUGACUGAAAAAUUCUAUUCAUCAAAUCCAUAAAAGCAGCAAGGGCAUUGGUUAAACCAAAUGGCAUCACCAAAAAUUCAUAAUGACCAUAUCGAGUUUGGAAGGCAGUUUUCGGCACAUCACACUCUUUAACUUUCAACUGAUAAUACCCAGAUUGAAGAUCUAUCUUGGAAAAUAUUGCAGCACCUUUCAACUGAUCAAAUAAAUCAUCAAUAUGAGGCAAAGGAUAUUUAUUCUUUACUGUUACCUUAUUCAACUGCCUGUAAUCUAUACACAGUCUUAGAGAACCGUCCUUUUUUUUCACAAACAAGACAGGUGCACCCCAGGGCGACAUACUCAGUCUGAUGAACCAUUUCUCUAAUAACUCCUGUAACUGCGCCUUCAACUCUUUUAACUCGGCUGGAGCCAUUCUGUACGGUGUCAUUGAGAUAGGAGUUGUUCCGGCGAUCACAUCAAUUACAAAUUCAACUUCUUUAUCAGGUGGUAGACCGGGUAACUCUUCAGGGAACACAUUAGGGAAUUCAUUCACUACUGGCACUUGUUUGAGCUUCAAACCAGAACCCUGAGUAUCCAUGAUAUAGGCCAAGAAUGCUUCGUUGCCUUUGCGUAAUAACCUCUGAGCAGGGAGAGCUGAAAUAAUUCUGACUGUAUCACCCAUAUUUUCAGACCCAACUGAGAUUAUAUCUCCCGUUUGACAUUUCAAAUUGAUCUGUUUAUCACGACAAUUCACUACCGCAUCAUGUCUCACUAACCAGACCAUCCCAAGAAUAAUGUCAAAUUCUCGAAAAGGUAACAACAUCAAAUCAGCGGGGAAUUCAUAGCCUUUCACUUUUAAUGGACAAUUACGACAUAUCAAAUUAACCAUCACACUUUGACCUAAUGGGUUUGUGACUUGUAUAUCAAAUUCAAUGGACUUAACAAAUAAUUUCUUUUCAGAUGCUAACAUAGUGCAAAUAUAUGAAUGAGUAGAUCUAGGGUCUAUCAAUGCAUAAACAAUAACAUCAUAAAGAUAGAAAGUACCAACAAUUACAUCAGGAGCCGUAGCCUCUUCCCUUGCUCGAAUGGCGUAGGUACGUGCUGGUGCUCUAUUCUUUGAUCGACCAACUGAUUCCCUCGUACCCGAACGGGUAGUCCCUGUAGCACUGCUCUGGCCCGAAUGUCUACUUCUUUGGGGAAUGGUUCUCUGUAUCUCUUUCUGUUCCACUUCAUCUUUUUACAGUCGGGGACAAUCUCGAAUAAGAUGAUUAGUAGCCCUACAUUUUUAACAAGCCCCCAUCUUGGUCCUGCAUUCUCCGAAAUGAUAUCUUCCACAAUAUUGACACUUAGGCCGGGGAGCAUUCUGAACACCGCUCACACUUGCUGCAGGUCUAUCGAAUACCCUGAAAUCAGAUUGUCUUGGUCUAUCUCUACCCGAUCUUCCCAACAUUAAUGUAGUUCGACUAAUUUCUUCUCUAGAUUUCUUCACUGGCAAAUCUAAAAAUGACUUAGAAGCACCUCUUUUGAAUGGCUCUUUACUUUUUCGAUCCCGCUGCAUUUUUCUGUUGUAUACUUCUUCGAGCUUUUGAGCACGGUCUGACAGAACAACGAACUCUCGUAUUUCAUUACCCCCAAUCAUCAUUCUAAUUUCAUCAUUUAACCCUUCUUCAAACCUGAUACACAUUUCUUCUUUAGUAGGUACAAUGUCUCGGGCAUAUUUGCUGAGGUAAACAAAUUCUCUUUCGUAUUCAGCCACUGAUUUAUUUCCCUGGCGUAGGUCGAGAAAUUCCCUUUUAUUUUUAUCCAAAUACCGUCUGCCCACAUAUUUCUUCUUAAAUUCAUUUUGGAAAAAUUCCCAAUAAAUUUUCUCUGCUGGAACCACAGCCUCAAUCGUCUCCCACCAACUAUAAGCUUCUUCUUUCAAUAGGGACACAGCACAUCUCAAAUAAUCAUCUGGUGAGCAAACCAUUUCUUUAAAAAUUCUUAUCAAACUUUGUAACCAAUAUUCAGCUUUGACGGGAUCUUCAUUAGUCCUUCCUGAAAUUCUUCGGCUCCAAGUUUUUUAAGCUUUUCCAAUAGAGAACGCUUACUAGAUUCAGUCGUUGUAGGAGGUGGAGGAGUAACCGGGGGUACCAUCGAUGGAGCAGUAGGGGGAGGAGGUGGUUCAGCAUGAUUUCUUUCUUGCCUCAUUUCAAUAUACCACUGAUUCAUAAUCUCAUAAAUCAUAUUCUUUAAUUCUUGCUCUCGCAUUUGGGAGAUCGGAACAUCACUGCUUGUUCUUUGUUCAGAAUUAUGUAUUCUACUAUUAACUUAUUCUUACUUAGUUCGUUCAGGUAUAUCUGACAUCUUUAUAACUGGAGAAUAUCUAUAAAAAUAACAAAGAUUAGAUCGGAUCAUACGCAUCACACUAUCACAGAUUUAUAUGGCAUGUAUUUCUAAACACUUUACACUUCACACAUAUUCCGAGAACCGGCUAAACCGGGAUCUGAUACCAAUAAAAUAUAACACCCUUUACCCAAGACCGUUGCCCGAGUCGAGCAUGAGGCGUUACUUGACUUAACUUAAAAGUUCAGGGCAUAAAAAUUUACUUUCAAAAUUAAUUUCACCAUUCACAAUAAAGCUGUCCACCUGCGCAGGAGUCACUAAAUCAAUUAUAACUCAAGCUACGAAACUCAAAAUUUAGAUCCGUAAAUUUUCCCUAAAACUAGACUCAUAUAAAUAUUCACCAUAAAUUUUUAAGAAUUUUUAGUUUAUCCAAUUAGUAUAGUUUAUUAGUUUAAGUCUCCCUUGUUUCACUAAUAGACUACCCUGACCUCUCGUCACUAAAAUUCAAUUAUCUCCUUAUACAGACUUGACAUGGUGCUUCCAAUUAUUUUUACUUAAAAUAUACUCAUUAAGGAAUUUAAAAAUAUAAUUUAUAACUCAUAAUUACUUUUUUACAAUUUUUAUUGAAUUUCUAAAUUCAGAACAGGGGACUUCAAAAUCAUUCUGACCCUGUCUCACUAAAAUUCAAAUAUCUAAAAGUAUAUAACUCUUUUGCUUACUCUAUUGCUUUCAUGUGAAAGUAUACUCAUUCAGAUUUAAUUUCAUAUCUCACUUAACUUAUAAUUCUAUUUCCACUAUUUUUGGUGAUUUUUCACAGUUACAUCAAUGCUGCUGUCCAAAAACUGUUCCAUUGAAAUUUUUAAAAAAAAUUCAAUAUAACCCCUUUAUAAUUAUCUAACCUUCCCUGCAAAUUUCAAAUCACAACCAAUUUCAGUAUUUCACCUACUUCACUUAAAUACUAAUGAAGUUCAACCAAUCAACCAUUUCAAACUAAAAACAUGUAUAGUUCAAUGUCUAACACAACCAUCAUAUUCAAAUUUACUUUGCAUACUUAGUCAUUCAUUCUAUUACUUUUUACUUCAAUUCCCUAUACAUGCCAUAUAAAUCCAAAAAGUUGUUUAACAAAAUCUACCAGAGUAAAUCUAGAUAGUGUGAUUCUUGGUGUAGAUCCGAUCCUCCGAAUGUAUAAAUACGUCAAUCUACAAGAAUCAAUAAACACAUAAUUAAGCUUAUAGAAAGCUUAGUAAGUUCAUAGGCACCAAACAUAAAUCUUACCAAACAUUUAUACACUUAUACAUUAUACACCAUUACUAAGUUUACCUGUCAACCACAAUCUUUGGUGAGUUCCUUGUUAUAAACUCACUACUACUUAUUCUUUUACCAUAAUUCCUUUGGGCCCAUUUGUCACUUACCAUCCUUGAUCAAAAUUAAGGAACGGUUACGGAAAAUUGAGUACUUCACUUUCACUUUGCCAUAGUAUAACUAUGGUCUUACAUAUGAUCACUUAUCACUUGUCCUUGAUAAGAUAAGUGUAGCUAGGCUACCACUUAUCACUUUGUCACUUGAUCAGAUAAUUGUAGCUAAAGCUACCACUUAUCACUUUAUCACCACUUAUCACUUGUUCCUGAUCAGAUAAGUGUAGCUAAAACUACCACUUAUCACUUUGUCACCACUUAUCACUUGUUCCUGAUCAGAUAAGUGUAGCUAAAGCUACCACUUAUCACUUUGUCACUUGAUCAGAUAAGUGUAGCUAAGCUAUCACUUAUCACUUUGUCACUUGAUCAGAAGUACUCAAAUUCGGUGUUCCGCUCAAUUUGAUCAUUUAUUCAGUUUUCACAUUUUUAUUUUAUUCUCAUUUCAUCAAUAAAUAUAUAUAUUUCAGCAUACAUUAUAUAAUUCAUGAAAUUAACAUUUAAUCAUUAAAUUUCAGCCAUAUGAACUUACCUGGGUCGAUUUAUUGAAUUUGUAAAAGUUCAGGGACUAAUCAGCUACUUUUUCUUUUCCUCGACUUGUUUCGGGUUCUCAAUAUGAUUCAAAUAUAUGAAAAACCAGCUUGGAUGGACUCUUCAAUGGCGUUUUUUGCUGAGAAAUAUGAUGAAUUGCCUAGAAACUCUUUUAGUUAAGAUUUUUAUUUGUUAACUUUUACAAAAUUUCCAAUUUUGCCCUUAUUACAUCACUUUUUCAGAUUUUUCUUCUCUUAUGCCGUCUCAACUAUUCCAUAUUAGCAUAUUUAUGCCUUAAGUCCCUCCUUAUUUGCCACUUAAGCUGUUUAAUCACUUUUAACAAAUUUUACAUUAUUUUCAGUUUAGUCCUUUUUAAUUAAUUAACCACCCAAACGUUAGAAUUUUCUAACGAAACUUUAAUAUCAAUUCAAUGACACUCUAUAAAUGUUUCUAAAAAUAUUUAUGGCUCGAUUGAUGAGUUUGAGGUUUCGAUACCUCAUUUUUUAUUCUAAUUAUUUUAAUAUUUAUUCUUAGUAUACUAUUCACUAUUUUAAAAAUUUUCCUAACUUCGCAUUUAACUUAUACUCACUAAAUUAAUAAUAUUUUCUACUCAUUUGUCAGAUUUAGUGAUCUAGAAUUACCAUUCCGACACCACCGAAAAUUCAGGCCAUUACAUUAUGUUUAUUGACUCAUUUUUUCUGUUGACUGAAUUUCAGGUAACUCAUCGACUUAGGCGGGUCGGCAUGGCGAGAGCUCGGUCAUCCUUAUUUAGUAAUUUUCUGUUUAAAUUAAACUUAUGCUAUAGUUGUUUUAUCUUGAAUUACAGAUUGCAAAUUUAUAUUUCUACACUAGUUCAACUAUUUAAACAUUUUCUGACAAUUAAACUUUAAUUAGUUAAAAGUGAGAAUUUCUUAAAUGAUUUGUUGUAGCUUUCCAAGCUUGGUCCUAACAUCUAGGUCGGGUUUGGGGUGUUACAACCCAAAACCCCCAAACUUUCCCCUCAAAACUUUUACUCCCCCACCCUUUCUCUUUCUCGCUCACCCUCCCAAACCCUUUUACUUUUCCCCCAAAACUUUUACUUCCCACUUUUACCCCCAAAUCAAAAAUCAAAAUCCUCCCAAAAAAAUCCUUAAACCUAAAUAGUAAUAAUUUUAUUUAUGGCCACUAUUUAUAUUAUAAAUUAAAUUUCACAUUUUCUAUUAUUUAUAUUAUUAAAUUGUUUAAUCAUUUUGAAUCUUUAUCAAUUUCUGUUAAAACUGUAUCAUUGAUGAUGUCAUACAUUAUUUGUGUUAAAAAUUUCUAUUGGUAUCAAUUUCACAUUUUAUCUUUAAAAUAAAUUUUAUUAAAAAAAUUACUUUUUUACAUUUAAUAUAUUUUUUAAUUUCAAAAUAUAUGGUGACAAGAAUUAGAAGAUAAUUGAAGCAACUAAGCAAGUAAAAAAGCUAACAUGUAUAUAAAAGAUUAAAUAAAUUAUGAAGGGAUGAAAGUUAAUAACACAUUUGAUUACGGUGGACAAAUUUGAUAAUGAUGGGUGACAGUGGCUACAAGGAUCCAAAGUAAUUUUUUCAAUUAACUGGAAACAAAUAUAUUCGAUUCGAUUCGAUAAAAUUUGAAAUCAUUUUAGGAUGAUAAAAUAAGAUUCGUCAACUCGAUUAACUCGAAGUUUUUUCAUUUGAUUCGAUUAGACGCUCACCCCUACAAAGUAUGACCGAUUGGUCUGAUUCUGAAAAAAAUUGGUUUUGAUCAAUGAAAGAACUUUUACGAUGGCGACAGGUCUAACAAACAGGUGAUAUUUUGAAAAGAAAAUUAAUCUCCAUAGUCUCAACCUUAGGAGGGUGAAUUUUGAGCAUUGCAUUUGUUGUCAUUGUUAGACAUUAUAAAGGAAGAAAAAAGAAAGAAAAAAGUUAAAAUGAGGGAAAUUAUUGAAAAAAAGAGAGAAGAGAAUAAUUAAUUUUUUUUAAAAUUUUACAUGUCAAUCUAUUAUUGAUUAGAUUUUUUUAAUGAGUGUAACAUUUUGGUGUUAAAUGGAUAAUAAAAAAAUAUUUUAAGUAUCAUUUAUGAUAAAAAUAUUUAGGUAUCAAUUUGAAAAAAAUAUGUAGCUUAGAUACUAAUUGAUGGGUUAAUUUUUUUAGCUUAAUAAUUUGAUUAAACCGAAAUACCAACUGAAAAAAAGUUUACUCGCCGCUUAUGAAAAAAAAUAAGUAUGAAUUUGUAAGUUAAAUCUCCCUAAAAGAAAAAAUAUAUCACAUUCAAUACGGGGUGAAUGAAGCAAUGAAUGCAAUGGGGUAUUACAACCAGCCACAUGUCAUUCAAUUCAUGUUAUAUCUACCUUGUUGGCCCCACAGGCGGUCUUUUCCAUUAUUUUCGAAGUGAACGACAUGAGUCGGACCUAUAUCGGCCCCAACAAACAACCUCAACCACUUGUUUUGUUAGGUUGUUGACUAAUUUGAAUAUGUCGGCUCAAAGCUUUUUGAAAAUUAAAUUAUUUUUUAUAUUAAUAUCAUAUAGGUAUAAAAAUUUAACGUUUUGUAAAAAAAAUAAAUUUAGUGUUAAAUUUAAAUAAUUAUAAAAAAUUAUACAAAAUACAAAGACAACUUAGAGUCAAUAAAAAAAAUAUGGAAAAUCAAUUCAUACAUGAAAUGGCAUAAAAAUAUUAUGAACACUAUACAAAUAUAUGAAUGUUUUUAUAUCUAUAUAAAAUAAGUUAUUAACGCUUAAAUUUCAACCAAUUAAAUAUUAAUUUAACUAUAAACUAUAAAAAAUUAAAAUUUCAUUUACCCUAAACAAUUAUUCUAAUUUCGCCCCUGUAUAAAAUAGUUGUAAUAUUAAAAAAAAAGUUAUACGAAUAUGGAGUGUUAAAAAAAAAGGCUUUCAACUUUUAAUAUUCCAAACAAAUAAAAGAAAUAAUAAUAACAGUUUACAAGUGCAAUAAAAGUAAUACAUAUUUGAUGAAUUAAAAAUAGAAUAAAUAUAACUAACUAUAACAGAAAUAUAUUUAGAUUUAAACCAAAUUUUUUUGAAGAUGAAAUUUGAACUCACAAAUAAUAUUUAUAAAUGAUGAUAUGUUUUAGAACAUGUAUAUUUUAAUUUCAUUUGAUAUUUAAAUUAAAUGAAUGAAAUGAGUAUAUUAGCAUAAAUAUAUUGAAUUUCUAGAUUUAUUAAAAAUCCAACUAAAUAGAGUAGAUCCAUAAAUUUAAAAAAUGAUUAUGGAUUUUGAAAUAUAAAUCUAAAAUUUAAAAUCUGAAACCCUCCUAAAUGUUUUCCAAAGUAAGGCGGGGAUAAAUGGUAUAGGGAAGACGGUGGGUAGAUAGAUGUACGGUUUAUUUAUAACUUCGUUUUUAUUAGUCGGCUUACAGUUUCAUAAAAAGCAUCCGUGCAAGGCAUGUUCAAAUGCUGCACUAGCAUACCACUACUAUAAAAAAAACACAUACAAGAGCACCACAAAUUUAUCCCAAAAUACAUUAAAUAAAUGACUCCUAAGGGUGCCAGAUUUAACUAGUGUGUCUGGGAUUGUAUUAGCCUCUCUGAGGCCAUGUGAAAAAAUUUAAUGUUAUUGUUAUAUUUCCAUCUCGAUACGUUGCAAGACAUGAAGCAAUCUGUAAACAACUCUCUUUUGGAAGCAGUUUGCAUACGACUCUUCGCUAAGAACCAUUUGUUGUGAUCUUUCGCUUAGGAUUGCUCACAAAUGACCCCCAUGCACCCUAUCUCUCUCCCUCCUUAACUCAUCAUCUUGAACUCUCAUCCUAUUAUAGGUGAAUCGAGACUCUUCUCCUCCACCCUUUCCUCGUUGGUUACUUGUAGCAAAAAAAAUUAAUUUCACCGAAAAUGUUGGAGAGAUCCCAUGGUCUAAGUGUGUUGUUAGAGCAAAGCUCGAUGGCAAAUUUGGAGUCAAAUUUUAGAAUCAACCCUUUAAAAUCCAUUACACCGUAAAGGAAAAUUUUUACAAUUACAUUAACAAUAAAUAUUCAAAAUUUACUCAUCUAUCUAUACUUAUAUUAAGCCUUAUUUGAGUUGGAGUCAAGAGUCAACUAGGUACUAACUCAGUUGAGAAUUUACUAAAUAAUUUUAAUAUAAAGUAAAAAAAAUAUUAAUACGAGGGUGUUUUUAUCUUUUCAUAUUUUUAAAUAAAAAUACUAUAAUAAGAUUUAAACUUAAGUUUAAAAUUUCAAUCAAAACAUCACUUAAAUUUAAAAUAACAUUUUUAUAUAAAAUGUGUUUAGAUUCUAAGAUAAUGAAAUUUAUGAUGAGGUAUUCAAAAUGUGUUUGAAUAUGCUAAUGAGAUAUUCAAAUUGGUAUGCACAUUCCUAAUCAGGGAGCAUUAAUGAUAAUUUAGUAAAAUAAAUUAUCUCAUUAGCAUAUAGUUUAUUAUAAAAUUAUUGUGUAAAAUAAACAAUUCACAAACUUAAGAAUUUAUAACACAAAAAUUAUACAUCAAUGUUGUUAGAAUUGUAUUAUAUCCAUCGGUUGAAUUUAAAUUUAAAAAUUUAAUCAGCGAUAAUAAUUAAAAUCGUUUCAAACUAGUAAAAUAUUGAAAAUUAAGAACUAAUAAAAUAGAUUCUAAUUAUUUUUAUUUAAAAAAUGUUACCUUCUUAUUCAGGUUACAUUAAGACAAACCCAUCUUAAUUAUAAGUAUCAUAUUGUGAAUGGUAAACUUCUUACACAACAUCCACCAUUUGUCCAAAUAUGUUAAAUUAGGUGCAACAUAGAAAUUUUAUUGUAAGGAGUGAAUCUCAUUGUUUUUAUUUUCAUCAAACAUACGUCUAACUUUAUUAUUACGGGAUUAGAACUUAAAUUUGAUAAAUUGUGUGGUUUUAGGUGAUUUCUUUUCGUUAAAUUUAUCUAAAUCAACCUAACACUCGAAAAGUGAGAAUUCUCCUAAAAAUUCUUUAUGUUAGCAAAAAAUAUAGUGGAAGUAACUUGAAACGAAAGAGCAAUGAGAGAAUUGAAAAGACACAAGAAAAUAAUGCAUACAAGGUGUUUGAGUAAAUGCUCUCAAUAAAUUCUUUAACUCAAGAAGGAAUGAAGUACAACCAGUAUCUAGCCCCCCUAAAAUAGAAAAUUUUCCAUUUAUAUACCUUUAUAAUUUAUAAAAUUUAAAAUUUUACUUUCCCAUAAAAUGAUAAAAAAUUGAUUUAUUUCUUUAAAAAUUAUAAAGAUGACUAUUAAAAUAGUAAAAUUGUAUUUUUAUUAUUGUAAAAAUAUACAAUUUAAUUCUGUCUCCCAAAUUUUUUUUUUUUGGUUUCAUCCCUAAGUACAAUGAUCGUUGUAGCAGGAUACAUAGGCAUUCUAGCACAGAAUGCAAAUAUGUUGCCAAUUAACUUCGAGUCAUGGCAUAAAGUGCCCGAGAGUAACAAGAACCAAGCUCUCGAUAACAUUAAGGUAACAAAAUGUGUAUAUCAUUUAUAAUACUUGAGUUUAAGUUUCGUUUACAUUUACUUUCUGAAGUUGUGUUUUUUGUAGGGGAGAUUUGCUCUAGAGGUCUCCGAUGCUUAUGUAAAGAAGGCAUUGGGAAAAAGAUGGAGAGACCAUAAGAGCACUUUAAAGAAAGACUAUUUUAAGACAAAAACAACACUCGACGAGAGAUUACAAAAUGUCACGCCGGGAAUGCUGAGGUACCAGUGGGAAGAAGUCGUUAGAUUUUGGACUUCGAAGAAAGGAGAGGUAUGUGUUACUACAAAAAUCUUGUAAUUAUUUUGGUUUAUAGUAUUUACUAAUUAACGUACUAAUAAUUUCAUAACGUAGGAUCGUGAACGAGUUGGAACAAGUAGUAGGCAGAAACAAAAAUUCACGCACACAGCUGGGUCGAGAAGUUUUGCGUGUGUAGCUCAGGCCGAGGUAUUUUGAAUUUUUUAAUACUGGCAGAUAUUUAUUACUUUCUAUCAAAUAAUAUUUUUACUAUUGUAUUGUAGGAAGUGUUGUCGGGUCAAAAAGUUGGACGCCUUCAACUUUUUGACAUUACACAUAGGAAGAAAGAUGGAAACCCUAUGACUCCUGAAGCUGCAGAAAUUAUGGUACGUUUGCUUAAUACAAUUUGACUUGUUUUAAUUAUUUAUGCUGUUUAUUUUCUAAUGUUUUUUAUUACAUUUCUUGUAAUGCAAAUAUUGUUAAGUUAUGUUGCAUUUGUUUUGUUAAUAUAUGUUGCGUUCUUAACUAUGUGAUUUAUUUUUUAGGAAAAACUGAAGGAUAAAAAGGCGGAGUACGAAGCGAUUGCUUCCAGUGAUAGUUCUGUUCAUAUUGACGACAUUGAUAACCGGAUUAUCACUGAAGUUUUGGGUCCUGAAAGGUAUGGUCGGGUUCGAUUUCAAGGAUCUUUUGUUAACCCAUCCCAAUAUUUUGGAUCCAGCUCGCAACAAUACAUGCAUUCGGGGAGUCAGGCUCAAGCUGAAGUUCAGAGGUUAAGAGACCAGAUAGCUCAGAUGCAAGCGGCAACGAGUGAGCAAAUUACACAACUUAAAGCGGAGGCAACAUCGAGAGAAGCUGAGGUUCAAAAAAGAUAUGAAGAACUCCAGCUACAACUUAAAGCAGAUGCGGCAGCGAGAGAAGCAGAGGUAGCAGCGAGAGAAGCUGAGGUUCAACGAAAGUAUGAGCAACUGCAGCAGCAGCUUAAAGAAGAUGCGGCAACGAGAGAAGCAGCGGCUGCAGCGAGGGAAGUAGAGGCUGCAGUGAGGGAAUCAGAACAGCAUAAAAAGUUCGAUGAACUCCAGCAGCAGCUUCAGAAUAUGAUGAAGAUGUUUCAGCAGUCGCAACCGCCGUCAUCUUAGACUAUCGUUUAAAUAUACUUCAAUUUUGACUUUGGUAUUAUUAUUUUAACUUUUACAAUUUCUGUCAGAAUAAUACGAAUUUUAUUUUAUUUAUUGACAUUUAUUUUAAAUAUUAUAUAGAUUUGGUUAGAUUUGGUUGGUUGGAUUUGGUUUCUUCUGAUUUGUUUUUAUAGGAGGGGGCUGAAAUUUUUUUUUUCAAAUCUGCAAAAAUUAGCGGCGUUUUUUUGGAUAAGCGCCGCUAAAGACCAUCGUCUAUAGUGGAAUUUUUUGGCUAAGCGCCGCUAAAGACCAUGGUCUAUAGUGGCAUUUUUCGGCUAAGCACCGCUAAAGACCAUGGUCUAUAGUGGCGUUUUUUGUCUAAGCGCCGCUAAAGACCAUGGUGUAUAGUGGCAUUUUAUGGCUAAGCGCCGCUAAAGACCAUGGUGUAUAGUGGCGUUUUUUGGCUAAGCGCCGCUAAAGACCAUGGUCUAUAGUGGCGUUUUUUGUCUAAGCCCCGCUGAAAACCAUGGUCUAUAGUGGCGUUUUUUGGCUAAGCGUCGCUAAAGACCAUGGUCUAUAGUGGCGUUUUGUGGCUAAGCGCCGCUAAAGACCAUGAUCUAUAGUGGCAUUUUUCGGCUAAGCGCCGCUAAAGACCAUGGUCUAUAGUGGUGUUUUUUAGGCUAAGCGCCGCUAAAGACCAUGGUCUAUAGCGGCGUUGCAAAGAAAACGCCGCUAAAGACCAUGGUCUAUAGUGGCGUUUUUUAGGCUAAGCGCCGCUAAAGACCAUGGUCUAUAGCGGCGUUGCAAAGAAAAUGCUGCGAAAGGUCUUGAUCUUUAGCGGUGUUUAUUAUAAAAAGCGCCGCUAAAGUUACCGACGCUGUCAUUAGCGGCGAUCCUUGCGGCGCUUCGUAAAGCGCCGCUAAAAGUAUUUGCGGCGCUAAAAAAUGCCGCUAUAGACCUAAAAAAGCGCCGCUAAAACCCUGUUUUGGUGUAGUGUGAGAUGAUUACAAAUGAAGGGGGAGAUCUCUAUUUAUAGUUGAGCUCCCCUAGAUCCAAUAGUAUAGAUUGAAUUACAUCAACGAUUGAGAUUAGUACUUAUCUACAAGAUGAGUCUUAAGGAUUUUAAACUCUAUACAUCUUUAUCCCUUAGGAUUUACAUUAAUUACUCUGGUAACUCUAGUUUUACUGGAGAGUUUCACUGAACCACCAAAGGUUUAAGUAGAUGAGCUUCUCCAUAUGUUCCACGAGUUGGACAAGUUCAAGCGGAUCAAAUGAGCCCAAUUUAAUUAGUUAAUCUCAAUAAAACGUUCUAUGCACAAUGAUCAUGAACUUUGAUCCACAUCUCAAAAUGAUCAGAUGAAUAAUCUCUCUUAAUUAUAUUUUUAUAAAACUUGAUAUUUUCAUUUAAAAAGAAACACAAUCACAUAUAAUAAUGUCUCCAAAAGAGUCGUCCACUUCAAAGAUUUAAAGUAAUGUAAGAAUGAACCCAACAUUUUUCAAUUAAAAAUAUGUCGAUAGAUAUAGCAAGUUGUAUAACCUUUCAAUUACAAAACAGAUUUCAAUGGGGAUUGCAUCCGGUACAUGCAACUAAAGAACAGAACCGGUGCAUAAAUUGAUUUAAUUAAACUUUGGGUUGAGUAAUCAUGAUUUUCAUUAUUAUUAGACUACGUGAAUGUUGAUAUAAAAUGCUUGAGAGAAGGGUAUAGAAGAAACACAAAAUAAUGAGUGAUAUUAAUUUGUAGAUAAAGAUAAUAUUACAUAGUCGCAAAAAGCGACCUAGUACACAACGCACAACUCUAAAUUAGGAUAACUCCUCUGCUAUCCCUAUGGAUGGAUUUUAACAUCCAUAUUUAUUCUGUAGCUAUCGUUAUUUUGGCUUCCACUAGCUGGUGAACUUUCCAUGCCAAAACUUCACUUAACCCUGCAAAUGAAACAACAAAAAACACAACAUUAAAUGUUGAGCAAUUAAUAAGCAUAAGCAAUGAAACAACUCAUACGAACCUGCUGCAGUCAGUGCUAGGGCUGAUCUUGUAAGGGAUGUUGACACCGCACUUGCCUGGGAGUCCGCUUGCAAUACCAUAGUUGAUGCCAGGAAUGCCGGCGGCCGCACUUUUGAUGCAUUUGCAAGCUGCUUGCCGGUCUGGUGUUGUUUGGGCGGCGGAGUUGAGAGAUUUGAUGCCGCUGCAGCAACCUUGGGGAACGGCACCAGCACCAUUCCCUCUCAAGUAAUUAAUGCAGGGUGCGAGGGAGCCUGUGACUUGACCACAGGUUACGGUCCCUUGAGCCAGGGGUGCACCCACCACCAUGCACAACACCACCACACAUGCAAGCUUAAGGGACAUUGAGCUAGCCAUAUCGAUUAAUUACAAGAAAAACAAACUUGUAAGGAAAAUGCUUGCUUGGAGUAGUAGUAGUAUUGCUGAUUGUUGCGUGGUUAGGGCCCGAGGGUAGGAGGGUUUUUAUAGCCAAAAGUUUUGUGAAGGGAUAUGGAACGAACUGAGAAACACGUACGAAUAGAAUAUGGUUAGGCGUUGGUAGUUGUCCCAAUUCAAUGCCAAGGUUUCUUUUUUUCUUUUUCAUGUUUCAGCUUAUGGUUGAGUGUGUUUAAUGCUUUGAAAAAGGUUUGUAUCUACCACUUUCAUCUUCAUCACUAAUGCUGAAUUACUCCGUUGAUUAAUGCAUCAUAUUAGCCUUGUCCUAGUGUUACCGGUUUUCUGAUAUUAGUAGCUUUACCAAUAAAAGAUGCUAUCAAAUAUAGUUUUCAGGAUGAUAUUAAAAAUUAAGGUUUUUUAGUUACAAAUAAAAUUGUCACAUUAUCAAAUUUUAAAGAUAUGAAAUUAUUAUUAUAAACUCAUCUAUAGAGAAAUUAUUUUAUGAGCCCUUUCCACCACAUUAUUCACAGUCCAUUUUCAAUUAUUUAAUAAUAUUUCAACAAUAUUUUUCAUGUCAUUGACACAUAAUUUUAAUAAAUUUUUUACCCUGAACCUUGAGUCUAGAAUCCCAAACCCUAAAUAAAAAACUUAAAACCCCAAACUAUAACCCCAAACACUUGCAUCAUAAACUCGAACCGCGAACCUCAAACUCAUAAUCUGUAACCUUGAACCCAAACUUGUAAUCUCGAACCCUUGAACCCUUGAACCCUGAACCUAAACCUUGAACCCUGAACUCAAAGCCCAAAACCAAAACUGAACCCUGAACCUUAAAUCUCAAACCCAAACCUUAAACCUCGAGGUUUGGGUUCAAGGUUCAAGGUUCAGGGUUUGAGUUCAAGGUUCGAGGUUUAGGAUAAAAUAAUUACCAAAAUUUGUAACAGAAUAAAAGAGUUCGUUUAUAAUUUAAAAAGCAAUUAUUUUAAGUAAUUUAAUUAAAGUGAAAUUAAGUUAGAGAAAAUAUUAGAUAUAGAUGAGUGUAUAAUAAUACUUUAUUGUCUUUAAAAUUUAAUGACGUGGUACUAUUUUAUUGGUGCCUCAAACUAUACUUUUUAGAAUAAUCCUAAUACAAUUUAUUCCCAUAUUAAAUACGUAUGCUUUCUAUAUUUUUUCGAAAAAAUAAAUUUUAUUCAUAAACUUUCUAUAUAUAAAUAUAUGUUUUAUUUAAAAUUUAUAAAUACAGAAAAAUUAAAAUAUAAAUAUAUGUCAAAGUAGCUAUUAAGUGUAGAAUUAAACAAUUAUAACAUAUAAAUAGAUUAAAAAUUAGGACAAAAAAUCAAUCUAUUACAUAAAAUAUAAAUUAUGAAUGAAAACAAUCUAAAUUAUAGUCUGGCUAAUCAAACUAAAACUUACAUAUAACCAUAUGACUUUAAGGGUCUUGAAUAUGGUUACUUAAAAGCUUAUAGUUCAGCUUUUACCCACUACGUCAAGGCUUCAUUUACGUUUUUUUUAACCAUAUAUUUUUCAUAUAAUUAUAUAUAUAUAUUUUGCAUAAAAAAUCCCCAAGACGUUAAUUACUUCUAUAUAAUGUAGCGAUUAAGUCCUCAAACAAAAAUUGCUCAACAUCAAUGCAUGUAUAGAUCAAUUUUAUAUAUCAAAGACCAAUACUAUCUUUUUCUUAAAAAAAAAAAAAAACCAAUAUGUUGUGAUUGCUUAGCUAUUGUUCCUAAGUCUUCCUGAAAAAGGUUUCACAGCGAGAGGAGAAAAAAAAAAGUUGAACUUGUCUUGGUUUGCCCCAUAAUGAUUGAAGCAUAGACAAGAUUAUAAAUGUUAAUUUAGUAUACGACAUAAUAAUAUAAUAUAAUAUAUUUAAAUGUAUAUCUCCUCACCUCCUAGACGCUGUCAGUUAUUUUAUUUUUUGGGAUUCUUUUAACAAAAGGUUGAGCUUUUUAUUAGGUUUUAUUUGAUUUUUCAUUUAUUAAUAUAAUUUUUUUAUUUUUAUAUAUUUUAGUUAUUAUUAAUUUUUGUUGGAAAUUUGUACGGUCUUGUUCUAACAACAAUUACAACAAGCUUUUUGGAACAAUCAAAAGUUUUGGGUGUUGGCAUGUUUGACUUUUAAUGGCUUAUGUUUUAAUAUUAGUUAACAACAAAUGAUAAGAGAAUUUCAUGGUAAAUUAGAAUAUAAUUAUCAUCCAUUUGAUUAGUCUUGAAGAGGAAGGAGAGGAGUUUUAACUUUGGUGGACACCCAUCCUUAUCCUUGUCUUUUAGAGUGUUUGAAGCUAUUGGAGAACUUGGUUUUAAAGAUUUUAUUUGAUAAAUAUUCAAAAUAAUUAAUUUGAUAAUUUCAACUUUUAAAGGAGAGUUUAAAACUUAUCAAAAUAUUAUUUGAUAAACACUUGUAGAGGCGUAUAAAUAGGCAACAGUGUGGUGUAACUUUGUUUGUUGUUUUGGAGUGUCUUAAACUUUUAUUUUUUUGCUAUUCCAUUGGGUAACUUUAUGACACUCUCUUUUUAGGUAUUAUUUGGAGAUGUUUAGUAAUUGUAUUGUGAGGAAUUUGAGUGAGUGAUUGCAUUGAAGAAAUGCGACCUAAAUGUAUAUGUUAAACUCUUAUCUAGGACAUAAAUUCCAUGAACAAGGUACCCAUGUUAAUAACAUGUCACCACUUCGCAUCUUUAUGGUAUUGACCCUAUGUAGUUAGACCCUAUAUGACGUAAACAACACUUAUAGUGUGCACGAUAUCGUAGGCUUGAACGUUGAUUGAAUGCAACCUAUAUUUUGGUGCCUUUGUCGGAAAUGAUGUAUGCAUCGGGUUGCGGUACAAAUGCCUUCUCAGGUUAGUUAAGAAGAAAUCCCAUUCAUCAUUGGAUUCUUCAGGAGUUAUUACAAAAGCUAUUGGCAGGAUUUUUAGGUUACCAUCUUAUGCAACAACUACUAACAACCGAUGGUCGCAUAUUCUAUACAGGAAUGUGCCGUUAAUUUGGAAAAGUGGCUUACAGUACCAAAAUGUAGUUCUGCAUUGCUUAAAAGUCCAAAAGCAACGGUGGAAAACUCCUUUUCCAGGGACCAAGCAAUCGUCAUAAUACGCAGGCUCCAUUUUUAACUUGGUUACAGAACCUAGUAUGUACCACUCUAGUAUCUAACACCAUUGCCACAAUUUAUAGUAGGAUUUCUCCCACCCUCUAUUCAUUUUCUCCAAUGCCUUCUAUUUUUGCAACUAUGUCUUAUGCUAGGACAUGGUGUAAUCGGAUUCUCUACAGAUGUGUGCGAUCAAAAUUGGGACCAGAAUCGUAGGACUUGCUUUUGCCAUGGGUAAUAGAAUUUUAGAUAUCAUGUCUAAAUCUAAUUUUGGAUGAUCAUUCGAUAUGCUUGAAAAACAAGAAAUCAAGUCACUAUGUGUAAUAGAAUGUAAAAAAAGGCUAGGAUUCGAGUCGAUGUUGUUAGCCAUAUUACAUACCAGCUACAACACAUGUAUGUGGCACGAUAAAUUUCCUACGUUUAAAAUGCCAACUUCUUCGUCAUAAAUGCCAUGAUUUUCCAUAGACAUCUUGUUGCACGCAUUGUGCGCAUCGCCUUAUAUUUCUCGGAUUGAGAGCAUGUAAUAGUGAAGUUGACACCAAGUUGUAUGCUAUACUACUUGAUUGUAGCUACAAAAGCAUAUUUGGAGUCAAAUUCCAUCCCAACCUCUAAGUGGUCGAAAUUUGUUGAUGAAGUCGCAUACCUUAGUCUUCUACGGGGGAGGUCUGGGAAUUCUAAAACCACUUUCACUAGUAAGACUGAGAGUACGCAUAUGGGGUGGGGGUUUGUAUUUCGUGAAACUUAGGUCAUCCCCUCGAGCGAUGUCUAAAGCUUGACCAUUAGAUCCAUCGUCUUCUAGUUCAGUAGGAAUGGGAUCUAGUUCUAAAAUUACUACAAUUUCGCACCAUCCAGUCCAACCACCUCUCCUGGGUCAUUAUCUGAUUUAGACCCCUCUUUGACCACUUUGUUCUCUUGUCCCUCUUUGUUAUCAACCCUGGUUGUAAGUCCAGGGUUGGAUGUACCCUCUCUGGUCAAAGUUGUCAAGAGUAGAUCAUUCAUUCUUGUAAAUCCGAUGUCAAUCCCAAAAUCAAUUCUGUUUGGCCUACCCAGUAACUUGAUGGUGUACCAUAUGAGUGUUAUCGAGGUUGAACAUAGGUGUGUCAAAGUUGAAACCAAAGGCACUGAUAGAAUGUUGUGCGGCUGUGUUGUAGGCCUGGUGACCGAAUACGUCUAACUAUCCCCCGAAGUUGAAAUCGAGGGAUGAAAUCGAUGAAUGCCUCACCAUUGAUGAUGUUAAUAAUGUGUCUUUGUAUAAGCUUUGUAGAAAUGAUCUGAAUCCACAACAAAACCGUGUGGCCAGACUUUUUGCUUCUUGAUUUGGCUAGAAAUUUGGCGGACACGGUAUAAUCGAGCUUGGGCCACCUUUUUCCUCUUCAGCAAAGACUGUAUAUUCUCACUAGAGUAAUGAGUUUCGAUCACUGUCUUCAAACCGUUGUCCCCUGUGAUCUGAAAAAUGGAAUAUCUAACGGGGUUAAAUGAUGUUAGAUAUCUACAUUUCAGGCUCAAAAUUCUUCUUCAGAUCCCUACUUUAUGCCUAAACCUUGUUCAAAGCUCUUUUAACGUUAUGCUCUAGUUGAAUGUCAGAUCUUUAGAUUGGGUUGAUACAAAAAUGGGCUCAAUUUCAGCCUCACAAUUUUGACCGUUGUAAUGGACAAUAGCUCUGGCUCGUCUCCUCAUCUUGAACCAAAUAUUCUAUUCCACAUGUUUAAAAUCGAGAAAAUUGUAAAAAUAUAGUUCUCAUCACCCAAAUCCCUAAAUUUACACUUACUUUAAUGAAAUACCUUUGCUUCGACAAUAUUGUCAGUAUAAAAUUUUUGUUUUUUACUACAACAUCGAUAACUCCUAAUGCCAACAAUCUGCUUCAAACAUCUGUAUGGAAAAUCCAAGAAUUAUAUUGAGUUUUUUUAUAGAGCCUUUUCCUCGACGCACAUGAAACGAUUCUAGCAACAACACAUGUCAAGGCAUUAGUUGUUUUUGAGGUAUACACUAAAAAUUAAAAUUUGUGGGGGAGAAAACGUUCCCCGCAACGAUGUUUUUCAGCACCUAGACAUAGCAUUGAAAUUUAUCCUAGGAAUCCCGGGUUGUAGGGGCUUAGAGGUUGAAGCAAUCAAGUUGGCUUGGGUAUUGAAAGACCAUAAAGAAAAUGCCUAUUGCAGGAAGCAUUUCCACCUGACUUGGCAAUCAAAAUGCCUCCUGCAGGACGCGUUUUCCAGCCACAUCUCUGAUAUGUUAGUCGAAAACGCAUCUUGCAAGAGGCGUUUGUACUGCCAUGUUAGGUAAAAACACUUCCUGCAGGGAACAUUUUCUUUAUGGCCAUUUCAACACCCAGGCCAACUUAAUUGCUUCUGCCUCUGAGCCCUUACAACACGGGAUUCUCGGGAUAAAAAAAUUUCCCUUUUUACCCCACCCCAUCCCUUAUAUAAAUGCAUGUUCUCAUCCCCUACUCACCCAUAUCUCAGUCUCCUUUAAAUUAUUUUUUUCUUUUUCUUCCGUGUUGAAAUUUUCAAGUUUAAAGAUUUAUUUCUCUCACACUUUGAGGGGGAUGUAAUCAUAGUUUUAAGUUGUGUUUGAGUUCACAAUAAUGUCGUGGCGCUUGAUAACUUACAAAUUUCACUUGUCGUGUGAGUAUGGAGCCAUCACUUGAGAAAUCGAGAUCGCUUUGCAACUCGAGGUCCAAGUUGACGGUGUAAAUAAGGCUUCAAGUUUACAAAGGUUAUGCUAUUAAAAGGAUGGAGCAAAACCGGGACUGUAGUUGAUGAUGGUGAUGCAAGCACAAGAACUAGUUUUUCCUCAUUGGAAGAGCAUACUUUAUAAAAUCCAUAUACAAGUACGAGGGAGAAAAUCACAGGGGUCUUCCAGUAUAAUCAAGUAAUUCAUUUUAUCCUUUUCCAGCAAAGGCAAUGACCCUGUUACUAAAACCUAUUACAUCCCAAUUCUAUCAUAGGUAAUAGUAACGGUGUCACUGUCUUUGGUGGAGAUGGAUAAAAAAAUUUACUUAAUUAUACUGAGAUACCAUUGCAUUUUUCUUCCUCGUACUUGUGUAUGAGUUUUAUAAAGCAUCAUUUUCUAAUGAAAAAAGUUUUUUGUCGUGCCCGCAUAACCAUUGUAAAUUACAGCUCCAAUCAUACUCCGUCCUUUGAUAGCGUAACAUUUUGUAAACUUGAAGCUCUAGUUACACUUCAAUUUCAGACCGUAUAAUCACCCUUAACUGGGACCAUGAGUUGCAAUGCGAUCUGGCUUCUCGGGUGAUGGCUCCAUACUCACAUGACAAAUGAAAUUUGUAGGUCACCUAACUCCACGACACCACCAUAAAUUCAAACAUUCCUUAAAACUAUAACAGUGUCUAUCUCAAACAAGAAUGAAAAUAAAUGUUCAAACUUCUAAUUUCAAAUUGCAAGAAAAAAAAAAGAAAAAAAUAAAUUUUAGCAAAGUAAAAAUGGGUCCUACCGGCACAUUUUCAUUGCCACAUCAAUGAAAAUACACCUCGUACGACACGUUAUUCUUUCUUCGUAAACAAUGUAAAUCAAUAAAUUUAAAAAAAAAUUAUACAUUCUCAAAUAACUCUUUUUUUCAGCAUUUUUGUUAAAUUUAUCCCAUAAUACUGCUACUUCUUGUUUCCUGGGUUAUUUUUAUUACUGCUGGUUGUACCACCCUCCUACUGUGCGCCGGUUAUAGCAACUCACUCAAGAUUCUAAAUACUAAUAUAAACACCAUUUCUUUUAUUCUUAGUUUUUUUAGUGAUUAACGUGGUUUUAAUUAUCGUUAGAUCACGUGGGUGUUUAUAUGAAAUGCUUGAAAUCGUCACGCAGGACAAAAAAAAAAAAGAAAAAGAAAAGGAAAUGAAGAGUAUAUAUAUAGAGGAAACAACUAGUGAGAGUGAUAUUAAUAUUUAGAGUAGGUAAAGAUAGUAUUAUAUAGUCGCAUAUGCGACCUUGUACAUUACCACUAACUCUAAAACUAGGAUAACUCCAACAAUGAAUAGUACCGCUAUGGAUUUUUAACAUUCAUUUUUAUUCUGUCGACAUCACUAUUUCCCUUCCAUUAGCUGAUCCCAACUUCCAUGACCACACUUCACUUAAUGCUGCAAAUGCAACCACACCAAACAAAACAUUCAUAAAUUAAUAAAUCAAUUGCCAUAAGCGAUAAACUUUGGGUCAUUUUCUUUUUCCGUAAUUUCAAAGAAACCUAGUUUAAAUUAGAUACGAACCUUUUGCAGUCAGUGGAAGGGCUGAUCUUGUAAGGGAUGUUGAUACCGCAC